CUGUAUAUGCUCCUGUCGCUAGAUGAGUCCGCGGCGCAUUAGUUAGUUGGCGGGGUAACGGCCCACCAAGACGAUGAUGCGUAGCCGACCUGAGAGGGUGACCGGCCACACUGGGACUGAGACACGGCCCAGACUCCUACGGGAGGCAGCAGUAGGGAAUUUUCGGCAAUGGGCGCAAGCCUGACCGAGCAACGCCGCGUGAGUGAAGAAGGCCUUCGGGUUGUAAAGCUCUGUUGUAAGGGAAGAAUGGCCAAGAGAGGGAAUGCUCUUGGAGUGACGGUACCUUACCAGAAAGCCACGGCUAACUACGUGCCAGCAGCCGCGGUAAUACGUAGGUGGCAAGCGUUAUCCGGAAUUAUUGGGCGUAAAGGGAGCGUAGGCGGUUUGAUAAGUCUGAGGUGAAAGCCCUGGGCUCAACCAUAGUAUGCAUUUGAAACUGAUAGACUUGAGUGCAGGAGAGGGCAAUGGAAUUCCAUGUGUAGCGGUAAAAUGCGUAGAUAUAUGGAGGAACACCAGUGGCGAAGGCGGUUGCCUGGCCUGUAACUGACGCUGAGGCACGAAAGCGUGGGGAGCAAAUAGGAUUAGAUACCCUAGUAGUCCACGCUGUAAACGAUGAAUACUAAGUGUUGGAGAAAUUCAGUGCUGCAGUUAACGCAAUAAGUAUUCCGCCUGGGGAGUAUGCACGCAAGUGUGAAACUCAAAGGAAUUGACGGGACCCCGCACAAGCGGUGGAUUAUGUUGUUUAAUUCGACGCAACGCGAAGAACCUUACCAGGCCUUGACAUACUCGGCAAAGCUCUAGAGACAGGGGAAUAGUUAUGGCGGAUACAGGUGGUGCAUGGUUGUCGUCAGCUCGUGUCGUGAGAUGUUGGGUUAAGUCCCGCAACGAGCGCAACCCUUGUCUUUAGUUGCCAUCAUUAAGUUGGGCACUCUAGAGAGACUGCCGGUGACAAACCGGAGGAAGGUGGGGAUGACGUCAAAUCAUCAUGCCCCUUAUGUCCUGGGCUACACACGUACUACAAUGGCCGAUACAAAGGGCAGCUACCAGGUGACUGGAUGCGAAUCUUUAAAAUCGGUCCCCAGUUCGGAUUGGAGUCUGCAACUCGACUCCAUGAAGUUGGAAUCGCUAGUAAUCGUGGAUCAGCACGCCACGGUGAAUACGUUCCCGGGCCUUGUACACACCGCCCGUCAAACCAUGGGAGUUGGUAAUACCCGAAGCCGGUGGCCUAACCUA
rnacentral:rRNA from 1 species